GACGCCUGUUGUCGAAUCCGAUGAUUCUGAUGAAUGCCGUGGGGUAAGUCUUCUUGGCCUCAUCAAGCUCCUUCAACACCUGGGAUGCGUCAGUGCAUCCGAACAUGGGAAGUUUCCACAUGAUCCAGCAGCGCCCAUCAUAGUACCCAGGUAUCCUGAGGUUCUCACGGUACACGAAUCCGUGCUAUACAUGGCAAAAACAAACGCACAGAAUUUAUCAGCACAAAUUGUACAAGAGAGGUGUAGCAGAAUAAUUUUGAUGAACAGAUUACAGAGCUUGAAAUGACCUCCAAUUCGAAUUCCAAGCACGGAACCCACUUAUUGCGAAGAAGGUAUUCUACUUCCUUAAACAACCUCUCUCGAGUGAGAUCAGGGAGGUAUGAGAGAGUCUCAAACUUCUUCUUCCCCAGUGGAGGCCACACCUACAGUCACAAAAAUGGUAUUCAGUUGCAUCAAGCAUUACACUAAAAAAUAAUAGCGAUGAAAAUUAGGCUUAUGCACUGUGUUCAAUUUAGUUGCUAAUUGCUGUGCAUAACCAUAUAGUUGCACCAAGUACCUGCAUGCAUUGCACUCUGCCACCAUUGCUUGCGAGAGAAGUAAUGUCGUUGUUGGCCUUGCGAGCGACUGGGAGAGCAGAGGUAGACUUGAGGCCGGUGAAUGGGGCGACCAUGCUGGCCUGUGCCGGGGAGGCACGGUUAACGGUGGCGACGGUUGCCGAUGAGAUCAUUGAGGAAGCCAUUGCUGAUGCUACUUACUAGUGUAUAUGCUAGAGUUACGAAAUUCUCACUCCCUUGAUAGUGUUUUGCUCCAGUGCAAUAUCCUAUAUAUAAUGAUAAAAUUUGGCCUUCUCAUACCUUAUGGUGACAAAAUGUUGGGCUUCAUUUGGGAGAAAGGGUGGCCGUUGGAUCGAAAAUCUGGUGACAUUACAACAUGAUGACCACAAGAGGGUGGAAAAAUUUUGAAUGGUAGCCUUAUCUUUUUGGCACCACAAUGACCGUGCCACGUGGAAGAAGCUCCAUGAUCUUAUCUCAUCCAAUGGAGGGCAUGAAUGUGUGAUGGGCAUUGCCUUAUUUCCUUCUGUCAGCCUUUACUCUCUUCUUGCAUUUUUGCAUAAAAAUCAGUACCGUCCCAUUUGGACUUUGGCAAAUCUAUGACCAUACCUUCUUUGCUCAUGCUUUGGACUUGUACCGUUCGCCUUAUCCUCUUUACAUAUACCUGGAGUAAAACAUUUUGAAAUUGUUAUUUAGAUAUUUUUCUCUUUCCAACAGGCUAUGCUCUUUCUUUGGUUCAUCUUUUAUCUCAUCAGAUUUUCUUUCCUAAUUAUUUGAUCCUAUAAUCUUUAUAUUUAAAUGUUUCAAGAUCAAAUAUAUUGAAUUGCUUCCUGGUAGAUAUAAACUUGGAAAUGAAAUGUUAACAGUCCAUUACAGGGAUUGAUUGUUAGAAUGAGAAUACACAGGAGCACUAGUUGUUUCUGUUUCUUUCUUUCUUUGCUUGAAGAAACCAUGGCAGGCAGUAGCCGGUAAGGGCUGAGCUGAUGCCAUUGGCUAAAGGCAAUUAUUGGCCAUGGAAGAGGCAAUCAUGGUGUAUAUAUAUGUGAUGUCAAUAAGGGAAUCAAUUAAAGUGGCUAAGAAUAUCCAGGGGGUACAACAAGGAUUGCCUGCCAAUCACUCUUUCUUCCAAAGCUUUAGUAAUUGAAAAAACUCAGCCAUUUCUUUUUAUAUGCUCCUCUUUGAAAUGUACAAAUAUGUCCUGGCACAUAAUUCUUCUCAAAGACUUUAUUAAAAGAGAGAGUCAAUCAUUUGGUAGCCAGUGUUGGAUUCAUUUUUUUUUAAUUUUAUUUUAAAUGCAUGACGUGAGAAUAUUUAUGAGAAUAAAGAAAUUAAUUUACUUCUAAAGUUUUCUAAAAUCUUUUCAGGUGGAAUGUUAAGCCAUUAAAUUUCAUGGAGUUAAAUGGCCUUUACUAUUAAGGCCAAUUGUUAGACACAUAACAAUCUCCUCUAGAAGGCGAUCAUGCCUGCUGAAUUAGUCAUACUUUGAUUAAUUACACUCAAGCAUCAAUUUCCUCCGAUAAAAACAAAUGCAAGCCUUUUGCGAAAAGUUCAGUUGCAAGGGCGGCCUAUAGCUUCCUCUCAAUUACAGCCCACUUGAUCUAUUGGUUUUGACUUUCAGACUUUGAAUUAGUCCAUGCAUCCUGUUGCCUACGUUCCCUGCAUGGAUGAGCUGUGCCAUUGCUAUUAAACUGUAGUUUCUGCUGCCUAGAGAUUUUUAGCCAUAAUCAAAAUGUCAAAGUUUCUCAUUCACAAAAUAAAGAGAGAAAAAGGGCGAAUACAACUCAGGAGGUAGGAUCUCUCCCUUGUAUCAAACUGGUUUGGUCGUCAUAUUUAAAGGUUAUAUAUAUAGUCAUAUUUAAAGGUUAUAUAUAUAUGACCAGGUUUAGACUUUACUUAGUUACUCGCUGGAACAUUUCCAGGUAGGACUGGGAACUUCGUCAACCAUGAAGAACCGCCUACUCUUGACAUCGUCACUGCAGUCAAGCAUCAAAACAGAUUGUAAUUCUUAUAUAAGUGAAACAAUUCUCUAAUUUCCUUCAUCAAUCCCUUGCUCUCUUCACAAUUUCACUGCUUCAAUUAGCCCAAAACCCUUUCAAUUAUUUACUUCUUGUUUGUUAUAAUUUUUUUGCCCUCUUGCCAUGAACGAAAGAUUGAGGGGGGCUGCUCAUUCGGGAAGCAUUGAUGCACUGUAUGCAUCAAUUCAGGAGAAUGCCCAUGUUUUUGAGCUUAUUGAUCAGAUUCCUUUUGUUGACACUUCACUACACCUGGCUGCAAAAGCCGGGCACGUCGAAUUUGUCAUGGAGAUGAUGAACUUAAAGCCAUCAUUUGCCAGGAAGCUGAACCAAGACGGUUUGAGCCCCAUUCACCUUGCCUUGGCAUAUGAACAAAAAGAGAUGGUAGAUCUUCUCCUAGCAAGUGAUAAAGAUCUUGCUUGUGUCAAGGGCAAGGAGGGCUACACUCCUUUGCACUAAGCAGCAAAACAUGGAAACCUUCCUCUUUUGGCUCAAUUGCUGAUCGUUUGCCCUGAAUGUAUUGAAGAUACCACAACUCGAAAUGAAACUGCUCUUCACAUUGCAGUGCAAAGCAAUAGAUUCGACGCUCUUGAAGUCCUAGCAAAGACUGCACAGUGGCCUUUCAGGACCUUUCGUGACAAUAGCAAAGUUUUGGGAAUAGAAGUCCUAAACAGGAAGAACAACGAUGGAAACACAGCGUUGCACUUGGCCGCAUUGAAUAAUCAACCCCAGGCAUGCAUGCUCUCCCUUUUUUUUUUUUGUCCCAAUUCAUUAUCUUUGUUUCACAUUUUAAAUUCAUAUGAUUAUAUUUUAUAAAUAAAGGUCAAAAUUGAGUUUUUUUUUCAUCGAAAAAUUUAAACACAGACAAAUAAAUUAGAAAAGUAAUUAUAAUAAAAGAUUAUAAUUGUUCUUUUUCCGUUGUAUUUUAUUUUUCAAUAUUAAUGUGGUUUUUUUUUAUUUCUUUUAAACAGAUGAUGAAACUCUUAUUAGAAUGUAAAGUUGAUAAAAACGCCAUUAAUCAGAGUGGCUUAACGACAAUGGAUAUCUCACAAGAACAAAGCCAAGUUGACAAUAAAGAGUGUAUAGAGAUUCUACGCCGUGCCAUAAGGCUUAAAUGCUCAAUCCCUCCAGCUCCAUCGUUACAAGAUAAGUUAAGGUCGAAGCUGACAUUUCAUGAAAAAUUAUUUGGUGAAGCCUUUCGUGAAAUUUUUGAUAUCUCAGUUGAGCGGAGCAAUGCUUUGCUCGUGAUAUCAGUUUUGAUUCUAACAGCUACUUACCAAGCUACUCUUAGUCCACCCGGUGGGUUGGGGCAGCGUGGCAGUGGUGGAAAUAAUGGUUCCAUAGGCGCCGGCCCUGCCCAUCUGCUGGGGAAAUCAACCAUGGAGGACCCAACUUCCAAUCUCGGAAAAUCAAGUAUGAGUUCAACGUCUUUUCUUCUUUUCUUUAUUCCAAAUACUAUCGCUUUUCUUUUGACAACAGUCUUAACACUUGGCCUCCUCUCAAUUAUUGCUAGUGCUAUCACCACUCUCCUUCAAAUACCCUUGUUUUUAUUAUAUUCUUGUCUUCUAACUUCAACAUAUUACAUUUCCCCAACCCCUCUAUGUACUUUCAUUUUUUUCUCCUUUAACAUAUUUCUCUUGGUGCUAUGUGUGAUAGUGCCUAUUAGAAUGAAAGGGGUCAGAUGUGAGGCCAAAUAAUUGUUUUUUUUUAUUUGAAAAAAGACAUCGUUAGAGUACGAAGAUGAUACAUCGAUUAAUGAACUAAAUGUUGGUCCGUUAAGUAGUUGGAGGAAGAUUAAAAAUCUGUAAAUUGAUAGAUAUAUAGUGAAAAUUAAUUUACUUGGUGACUUAGCUUUCUGCAAAGAAUGUUAAAAGAUGCAUUAACUAAUGUCUAUUUUUGUAUUUGUUAUUUCUAUACUAAUGAAGAAAUGGUUUGGCUUCAAUUCCCUUUCUCUAUUUCUAAUAACUUCUUUCUUUUUCUUGUAUUCUCUGAUUGGUUUUGCUUCUAUUGCAUUAAUUUAUUAAUUAUUAUCCUAACAAAAAAUACAAAUGUGGGGUUGAUUUUUUUUUUUUUUGUUGUUUUGUGAUUGAUUAAUUAAUCAACUCUUAUUCAGCUGUUCACACAUUAUAGUUCCACCUACAACAUUAUUUUUGGUAAGAAGGAAGAGAAAAGUACAAAUUCAUCCAUUUCCUUUCUCCCUUCGAUUUUCCUCCUAAGAAAAUAAUUUUUCAUUCAAUUCAUUUCCUUGGUUCCUUUUUGUCUCCUACCAAACAUAGUGUGAACGUCUUUUGUGUAGAAACAAGCCUCUACAAUGCUAGCUAGACAAACUCGUAAUUUUAUGUAGAAAGGGGAAAAGAAAGCAAGAACUCUUCUCAAUAUAUAUUUAUUUGGGUAAAAACAACAUGCAGAUGCAAUGAUCAGUUACUUGCACUAUGUUGUGAUGCCUUUGUUUAUUUAUUGCAAGCAAUCCAUGAAUGUUAUUAUGGCAUCGAGAAAAAUAGAAAGAAACAACAAGUGCACUGUAGGUACAGAAAAUCCAAAAUAUCCUACAAUAAUUAUGUUGGCUUCUAUAUAGUUAAAUACAUAUAAAUGCAAAAGUGAAAGUAAAUUACAAGGAAUAAAUGCUGAUUUUAUAAUUUUUCUUUUAGCCUAGCUUUAGAAAUUCUCCAAUAAAGAAUGUAAAAGAGACACGUUUUUUAGAUGCUCUGUUUUUCUUAAUCUGUCUUGGCCAAUCAAAGAUGAAUUCCACCAGAUAUUAGUAUUUAAAUAAAGACAAGUGCUCUUAAAGUUGUUUUUUUUAUUAUUUUGAAAAUUAAAAUUCAUUUAUAAAAGAGAGGGUAUCCAUGUAAAUUCAAAGGAGAGUUCAAGACUGGAGAGAAAACAGUAAUUAACGCUCUGUUCACAUACUGGUAAACAAAAACACCAGUCAGCAACCUGCCCUUCAACACAAAAAUUUCACCUUUUCAUUUACAGUUAACCCCUCUAAACCUAUUCCUGUUUCGCAUCGCUGACAUUAAAACGUAAAAUUAGUAAGACUAGGAAACACAAUCAGCAUGCCUGUUUCCUUCUCUCGCUUACGUUUCGGAACACCUGAAUUCGCUCCCGGACAAGAGGAUCCCAUAAACCACUUGCCAACCACCCCUCCCAAAGAGAUCCCCAGGGCCAACCCACCAGCGGCUAGGAGACUUCCACAACCCCAUAAACACCCCACGCAACACACAAGGUUCUGCAUAACCAUAGGAAAGGCAGCCAUAACCCAGGAGAAAAAACAAACGCAAAGAAACCAAAACAUGACAAUUAAGGCAAACCUUGCAGCAGGUCAUUGACUCUUUCCACCCCAUUUGGGCAAGGUUAUCCUCCAAAUCACUCCCAAAUCUUGGGGUAUGGAUAAUCUGCCAUCUAAGGGAUCUUUCCCAGCAUAGCCUUGAUUUUUAGCACCAGAUACCUAAGGCGCCAAGGAGAGGAGAGUGGUUUUGAGACCCAAGUAACGACAUUUAUAGAAUUCGUCUCAAUGAUUAAACCAUAGGCCUGACACCAAUCAGCCACCACAAAGAGAGCUAAAGCCUCACGAAUGGUUAACAUUUCCGCAAGAUUAGCAUCUCCCCAACCCCCUGCUUUCGAAAAUAAAUCUUCACUAUACCUUUGUUAUCCCGAAGCACUCCUCCAAUGCCAAGAGGACUCUGGCAGCUCCAUCAGUGUUAGAUUUUAACCACCCAUUUGGUGGUUCCUUCCAAUGUAACUUUGAUCUUAACCUUUUCUUUUUUGGUUGGAGUAACAGCAAGGUGCGGGAAUCUCACAAAAUCAAGAAUAUCCAAAUUAUCCUUGACUCACCAUGCAACUCUGAUUUUGAUGAUAUCCGGCACUUUACGGGCAUCCCAAGAUAUCUCGAAAGAUCAUUUCGUUUCUAUAAAACCAAAUAAACUAUACGAAAAAGGACAUUCUCCACACUUUUCUCCUAAGGAUGUCAACAGGAUAGUAUUUCCAAACUAAAAAGAAAGCAGAGGCUCUUAAAGAACCUUUUACAUACUUAAUAUACUAUUUAUGAUAAUAUUUUUUAUCUUGUGUCAAAUAAGAUAACUAAUAAUUAAUAUUGUGAAUUCUAAUGCAUUGGAUAAAUGAAAUUAUUUAAUAAAAUAAUAUUUAAAAAAUACUUUAGAGCACUGUUUAACAAAGCUCAAUAAAUAAAUAGUAUAUAAAAAUUUAAAAUUAAUGAUAAAAGUUGCAUUAAAAUUUGAACUGUAUUCUUUUAAUUCUAAUAUAUAUAUAUAUAUAUAAUAUAUAUUAUGUAUAUGUUAGAAAAGAUAAGUUUAACGUAAAACUACUAAGAGGGGGUUAAUUGGUUGUUAAGUAAAAAUUUCCCUUUUUUUAAAAAUCAACUAAACUGUGAAAGAAUAAAGCAAUAAAACAUAAUAUAAACUCAAUGAGUAAAGAGUAACAAAGUAAAAAGGCACUUAGCAAGAUAUUUAUGGAGGUUUGUCCUUCUAAUGUCUACAUCAUCUCCUUUGAUAGCAUAAGGAGUUUGAAUCCACUAUUAGUUUGCCUUUUCAAUAGGAUCAGAUGUAACCUUUACAACAUGCCUUUUGCAAANUAUAUAUAUAUAUAUAUAUAUAUAUAUAUGUAUAUAUUUCUUUUUGGAACACAUGAACGCAUAUUUAACACCAUCUUGGUCCAAAACGAAAAGUUUAGGAGAUGGGACAUCAGUCAAAAAGCAAAAUUCAAAGCGAACCAAUACUCAAAACUUUAUGCUUCAUGUCUGCCUUGGUAGGGUUAAAUUUAAAAGACCCCGUGUGAGAAUCUGAGAAUGUCUAGCUUUCAAGAUUGUUGCCAAUAAAACUGAAGAAGACAAUCACCCUUUAGUAGUUUGUUUGUCAGUGCAUGGAAAACGCUGCUGCAGCAGAUUUUUACUUGUAAGUACGUCGAGGUGCGGUGCUGUGCAGCCUCUCUCUUCUUUUUUAAUUGAUUGCAGUAAUUAGCCUAAGCCCUCACACUAACCUAUCAAUUUAUCUUUAUUCUAAGCCUUCUCAUCUCACUAUGUUCACCGGAUAGAAAGGAGCUGUGAAACCGUUCUGGAUUUCAUUAAUGCUCUCUUAAUUACUCUUUUAAUUGCUAUAUGAAGUAGCCUAAUCCUUUUUCUAUUUUCAGCAAGUCAUUGUCAGCUGGCUCCCUUGAUAUGGAUGAAACUCCCUUGAUAGAUCAGUUGUCACAUGCAUAAAUUCAAUUCCUCUUACAUAAAAUCUUCUCUACAUUUUCUUUUGCUUAUAAUUGUGCUCAUGUAUUAUUAUUAAAUUAACACUCCUUCUGAGCAAUGUAAGAACACACAUUUUGCUUUAUAAGAAAAAAGUUUGGUAGCAGCGACAGGUGGAGUUGUCAUUUAUCAAUCGUCAUGCAUUUCUUCUAUAUGGCUGUGUGUUUAGUGUUAAAAACGUAUGUGAAGUGAUACCCGCAGCAGUCUUCUGGUAGUUGCUGUGCUAAUUAUAAAAGCCACAUUCCAAGCUUCAUUGAGUCCGCCUGGAGGUGUUUGGCAGGCAAAUAGCAGUACUUGAUCCACCUUAGCAAAGAGAAACAGGAGGAGGAGAUUUGAUCAGAUAAGGGUGUAUAUGUUCAGCUUGAUCACCAUUUUCAAGGACAUAAUUUUCGAAGACAGAGUUGUAAGAAGUGAAAAACCUGUUAGGAUCAGGAAUUUCAGGGAAUGUGAAGAUGAGUCUAUAAAAGCUAAGGUCUCCUUUCAAUCUCUUUUCACAGAAAAACUGUGAUUUGGAGUAGAAUGUUUAAGGAAACAAGUAAAUUUCUAUGACAAUUCAGAUGCUAUAUUUGAUGAAAUGUAGAGAAAAAGUGAGACAGAAGUUGGCCGUCCAAUCCAAGGGGCACAAAUCCAGGCCUCUUUGGGGUUCGGGGAAGCAACUAUGGACCUGAGCUGUUCAACUUAGCCCAUAAGGUUUGAUGUGCUACCACUAGAUCUGUUAAAAUGGGUCUAGCCCAUUGAGUAGGUUCAUUUUUAAUUAAAUAUGAGAUGAGUUGGACCUAAAAAUUUAAGUCUAUAUUAAAAUUAGGGUCUAAAUGGGCCAGCUCAUCUGAAUCUUGGGUUAGGGUGGAUUGCAGUAGGUUAGCUUUGUAGGUCAGAAGAAAAAAAUAAAUUAAUAAUUUUAAUUAAUUUAAUAAUUUUAUAUAUUUAAUUAUAUAAAAUUAAUAAUUUAGUUAAUAAUGGUAUUACUUAUUUUAUAUAUUUUAAUGUCUUUAAUCUUUACUUGUCAAAUUAAUAAUUUUAGUUUAGAUUAAAACUUAUUAUCUCUUUUUCUUUUAUAGUAAUGAAUAUUAUAUAAUAAAUUGAUAAUAAUUCAAACUUUGAAACAUCAUUGCUGUCUAAACAAAAUUUAAAUAUUUUACUUGAAGAUGAGUAUUGAGGAGGAUAUAAAUGAGUUUUGAAGUUUUUAUUAUUUGAUUAUAUACUUAGGUUUAUGGGAUGGUAGUUUGUGUUAAAGAUUUAAACUUUAUUUAUGUAAUUUAUUUAUUUAUUUAUAUUUUGUGUAAUUCAUUUGUUUGUAAUAUAUUUUUAUUAUUUAAUUUAUGAAUUAAAUUAUAGAACAAUUUUAUUGAUAAAAAAUUUGUUAGGUAUAAUUAUAAAAAUGAUUUAAAAAAAAUAGAUUAACCCAAUCCGACCCAUGGUGGCUUGGAUUAAGGUUCUGAUGGUCUAUAUAAAAAAUAAACUGACCCAACUCAACUUAUAUUUUCUCGACCCAUAAAAACUUAAGUCGGACUGAAUCAAGCCAGCCUAUAUUGACACUUCUAGUUACCACUCUCAUUCCUCACAAAAAGGCUCUUCCCUGAAACAGUUUCAUUAAUAUAUAAAUAAAUAUAAUUGGCUAUUGGCUUUGGUAGGCAGAACACGUUUUCAUUUUUGCUUAAAAGGAAAUACAAUCAGGGCCAAGUUUCUUUUUCUAGAAUCUAUAUAUGUUGCCAGAAUUGACUUUUGAUCCAAACUUAUAGCUAAAACAAUGGUCUAUCUGGCAGUUUGAAACCCUGAUAAGCUCGGAAACAUCUCCAACGGACCAAAUACAUUGUAAACUUUGAAACAGUUGUUUUUCUUUAUAUAUAUAUAUAUAUAUAUAUAUUAUAAACUUGUUGUACAAUAUCAUUUGGUAAUAAUCGACACAAACUAAUAAAAUAAUAUCUCCCAGAUAAACAUUAGCAAUACCAGGGGAGGUUAGGCAGAAAGUGGAGUCCUUGUCGUCCCAAUUGUUAGUAGAAUUAGGCUCAAUAUAUGACCCAUUGACCCUACACUUUUAACCCCAUCAACAAGCCACUUUAAUUUACUUCACUGGUAAUUAAAGACGUUGAUUAUCUAUUAAGGAUAUAUAGUAGACCACAAAACAUGAUUUCUUUUAAUUAAUCGUUAUUAAUUAUCUCUAUACACCCUAAUAAAUUAGACCUGAAAAAUGAUAAUUUAAUUAUUAAUGCAUUUUUUAGAUUAAAAUUUGACUAAUAUGGCAUGACAUCUCAUUUUUGAUUGUUUCAUUAAAAAGAUUAAAAAUAAACAAAAUUGUCUCCAAACAUUUUGAAACUAAAAGUUCCAAAUUCCAUUUCGAAACAUCUUGAAUCCAUACUAAAUCAAUUUGUUUGCAUCUUUACAUUUGAAUAAUAUUUAUUCUUGUUAUUAUUAUUUAGAACUUAAUAUAGGAAUUAAAAUGUAGAUUAGGGAUUAUUUUAUUUAUUUUAUGUGAGUAACACACACCAACCAAUAGAAUAAUUAGGCAGAUAUGGUCCCACAAGCACUGGAUGGGUAGCUGCAUGGUAUUAAUAACCAAGACACACAUGAAAGAAACACUUAAACAAAAUCCAAGUUGUGUGUGUAUGUGUGUGUGAAUGGAUUAGAUUACAAUCUAAUCAACAUCAUUAUUAUAACAUUAGCAUUUUACAAACCCCACUACUUCUUCUUCUUCUUUAAUUUGGGGAAUAAAAUAGUCUUUCAAUUUUAUCCCUUAAAAGAAAUACCAGAAACCGGUCGCCUGUUUUACUAAAAACCAGAAUUGCAAAAGUGGACAAGUCUCUCCCAAAAACCGGGAGCUAUAAAUGAACGUUUUUUUUAUUUAUAUUUUAAAUCACUUUGCUUGAGAAUAUAAAAAUGUUACAAGUGGGGUCUACAUAUGAAAUUUUUGCCACGUAUUUUGGACUUGGAUGAAUGUUCGACACAUAUUCCUAUUUUCUCUCAUCUUCUUCCACUUGUCCUUAAUAUCUCAGAAACUCUUUAAAAGCCUUUUUGUUUUUUUAUUUUUACUUUUUACUUAUUUUGGAAAAAAAAAUAUUAUUUGUUGGAUGACGAAGACAGAAUCAACUUUAUUUUCCCUUGGGUUUGAGCAUACGUGGCUCUUUAGAAUGUAAGCUUAUUUGUAAAUGAGUAAAAAAGUUUACACUAUAUGCAUUUCCUAGAAACAAAAUAGAAAAAUGAGAGCAUUUAUUUAGCAUAAAUAUGGGCUUAUUAUGCAUUUGCGGUAAAAACUAAAAAUGUAAACCGGGGGCGCCCAAAGUUUAUUAGUUAAUUCUCCAACAGUUUUGGCCCUAGCUAUGAAUUAAGUCUGAUUAGCACCUUGAUUAAUUAGUAAAGAAUAUUAAUAUUCUUUUGGUGAUUGAUAACACAGCAACAAAUUUGAUUAUAAGCAUCCAAUUAGAAAAGGGUUACCAAAUUUUUAAUUGACUUUGCUAAUCGGUCAUAUAAAAAGAAUAUUCCAUUACGUAAAUGGUGGCACAUCGUUUUUACUUUUAGGAUUCUAAUUAUAAAGCAUUCUUAUAUAUAUGAGUGAGGUAAUAAAGGGAAAACUGAAUUAAACAAAUAGGAGGAGAAAUUAGAAAUGAUUGCAAGCUAAGAAAAUAUAUUAACUUGAAAUAUUGGUUUACAUCCAAAUAUUUGAUUUAUUAAUUGAUAUAUAAUUUUUAAUUUAAAAAAUAAAAUUUGAAUUCUCUUUUUUUAUUUUAAAAAAAACUUAAAGUAUUGAUUUCACGCAGUCUUUUUACAAGAAUAAUUGUAACAAAUCAUGUUCCAUUAAAAUGGGAUUAGGUACAAAAUAAGUCUAUGUUUUUAAUGGAUUUGUUGAGAAUGAUGGAAACAUGUGAGGUUAUCUAGAUCAUACAAAGAAAGAAAAUUCUCUUCAUAAACUUGCGUCAAAGCUCCUUCAAUCCAAUUCUAACAAUAACUUAAAGGACAAAUUAUUUACACCGGAAAUUUAUUAAUCUUAAUUUGUUAAUUGUUUAACGAAGAAGUUUAUCAUAUCAUAUAUCUAAGGCAACGUAAAACUUACCCUAUGUAUUUCUCUCUCAUGCAAGCAAAAGGUAUUUACAUCUCCAUUCAUCCACAUAAGUCAAACUUAGUAUUUAGAUAUCAAAUUUUCUGAAAUUUUAUAGGAUAUAUAACAUAUUCCCAGCAAAUGAGAUAAAGUUUGAGCGCAUAAGACGAUUUAUUUAUUUUUUAUGUGUAAAUUAAUAUUUGAAAUUUAGAUCCUCAAAUUCACUUAUUUACCUAUCUUACUAAAUAACACCAAAAUAAAGUAUGAUAAAAUUCAAGUUUAAAAAUAAUUUAAAUGACACAAACAAUUUUAGCGAUUGAGUUGAUCAUAUUCAAAGGCUCUAACGUUAAUAUUACAAGUUUGUACUUUUAAUCCAAAAUAUAUAUCUCUUAAAUAAUAAAUCUCGUACUUAUAAAUUUAAAAAUAAUUACAUUUUUUAUUAUUAUGAAAUUCGUAAUUUUUUCUUAACUCGAUUUUAAAAUCUCAUGAAGAGUCUAAUAAAAACAAAAAAUUAAAUAAAUUCUUAUACUAUUUAUCACAAACUCAUAUUUUUACAUGCUUAGUUGAAUAUUACGUGUACAAUAAUUGUUGAAUCGGUUUGGUUUCCAAAACAUUUUCUAAAUUCGGAGGUCAAUGUGUGACCCACAAAAAGCCCAAAGCCAAAACCAGCCACUGGUUUUUUCCAUCAGGGUAGUAUUAUGCAAAGAGUAAUGGGAACUCUCCUAAAAACAUGGAGCUGCAUGAUGUCCACAUGUCCAUUUCGGUCCACUCUGACACCAAAAAGUGGAUGCCACGCGCUUCCACCACGUUCUGCAUCAGCUUUUCGGACACACCAUGGUAUCAUCACUAGUGUUGUCAUUCUUGUCCAAUUUGUCUCCAAAUUCUCAGCUAAAGCCAUUGAAAAGAAAUUUGAAUGAUCUUUUUUACGAGAUCACAUACGUAAAUAGAAACUAAAAUCAUAAUUAAUAAUUCUUUCUAUAUAUAUAUAUAUAUAUAUAUAUAUAUGAAAUAAUAAUUAUUAUCUGAAAGAGAACAAAGCAAAUGACUAAACAGUUGAGAGAAUGGAUGGAGCUAAUCAAAUUAUGUUUUUGAAUGUAUUGAUCACUCCCUUAUUUGUUUACUAGCAAAUAUUAAUGAUAAGACAAAAGUACUAGAGUAGAUUUAAGGAUGCGCCCAUGGUCCCAACCAAAAACCCAGAAACCAUAUUUGUAAACAAAGACUUUUCCCCUUAGAAUCUGGAAGAAACCGAAACCUAAAGUACAGCCAAUAAUCUCUGACAACGUGUGCCCAUCGGACACCACUUUGACAAUCCUGAUCAGACAUAGUGGCCAAAGCCCCUUUCACUUCAACCUUCACAUGCGAUUUUUGGACCCUCUUUGCGUGCAUGGAUGGCACAUAUCUUCCUUGCUUUUCUCCUUCUCUUCCAUCUGUCCUUUCAUUUCGGUCUAAGAUUUUAAAUAUCUCCCACUUUUAGGACUGUGUGUGCCUUGGCCUGUGGGUCAUCAGAGCUCAAGUCAUACAUUGCCGCUGCAAUGGGACAGAAAAGGAGGGGUACAGAGUUCAUUGCAUAAAAUAAGGUUAGGUUGGGUGAGGCUGAGGUGACAAAGCUUCUGACAUAUUAAGGGCUAAGGUCACAGGUUAGCAGGAUUAUAUCUAUCAGCUAACAUAACUCUAUUGAGAAAUUUGAUACCAUGUGCAAGAAGUAUCUUGUUGAUGCCCUUUUAUGUGCCCAUUAUUUAUGUAGAGUGCCUCUAAUAAGACAUGAAAAAUGAGUCUUGCACUAAUGUUAAAGAAAAGGAGUAAAAAACCUGGUAUAUACCCUUUUACAUAUUAAAACUUGCUCCAACAUUUGAGAUUAUAAUAAUCUCUUAACUGCAAUGAUGCUCCACAAAAACAUGAAAGUUAAUUUUUUUUUUUAAUUCCACGGACAAAGGGGACCUAAUUGGAUUACAGGCCAAGAGGGAAGAGGAGCUCACUAGAUUCUCAAACUAACCAAGAGUGGGGCCAUUAAUCUCCCAAUUUAGUACCUUGAUUAGCUCAAGAAUAAUCCUUGGGGGGAGGGGGGGCUGUACCUAGGCAAAUCCAAAGAUUAAAAUAUCAAUAAUACAAAAGAAGAAAUGUUAUUUUAAUAUAAUACAUUUAACAAGUUGAUAAUAUAAAAGGAACAUUAAUAAAAUAUUAUAUGCAAAUGGCAAAGGAUUGAUGAUUGAUAGGCAUAGGAAAGGGCGACUAGCUAAACCAAUUAAGGACUGCUAAUUAACUAUGGAUGUGUCAGUCAAUGUUUAGAUAUUAGUUCUUUGUCUAUAGCAAUGCGUGAAGUCAAUUUUAAUAAGUAAUGCACACAAGAACUUUAGGUAUGCGUGCGAUGAUAGUGGUUAAUUAGUCCAAAUUUUUUGUGGCCGCCCAUGUUUAGUUAUAUCAUAAAAUAAAAUUAAUAAGAUAACGAUACAAGGCAAAACAGCUAGCAUAUCUAUUAAAAUUAUUAAUUUAUUUUACUAUUAUAAGUAAUUGUAUUAAUUAAAGCAGGUUUGCAAUGGGAGUGAUCAUGCACCAUCCUAUUGUCAGUAGGAGUUUCCUUAGGUAGUCUCCUACAUGCUUGAGUUAAAAUUGAGUUUGCAAAUGCUUUUAUGAUUCUUAACCUGGUGAUCAUGCACCAUCCAUUCCUAAUUGUUAAAUUUGGAAAUAUAAAUUUGAGACAGUGGGUUUGGAUUUAGUUUUGUUAUAUAAAUUAUAAGGUUGAAUGUCGAAAUUACAUAAAAAGUAAGAACUAGUUAAGAUUCAAUAUUGACCCCCCAUUAUAUGAAUGUUAAAUUAUUACUUUCGUUUAUAUAAAGUAUUUUGAAGUUACUAUCGAGUUACUAGAGAGUUCAUAAACUCAUAAAUUUGAAAAUAAUAAACAAGUUUAUAUUUAUGACACAUGCAUUAUAUUAGUUUAAUUAAUUAAUUAAUUAAUUCUUAAAUAUAUACCAAAACCAAAUUAGGCUAAGUGGAUAAGAGAGAGAGAGAGAGAGAGAGAGAGAGAGAGAGAAUUACCUUCAAUGGUGUAAUGCAACCAAUAAAUGAGGAAAAAAAUACUCCAAUAAAUCGGUAAAAGUAGCAGUUUGGGGAAGCAAUUAAUUUUGACUUUUUGUGAAACAGCAAUUAAUGAACAAAAUGGCAAGGCCCUGCAUGCUAGUUUUAGGCAUGGUAAAUGUUAAUUUAUUAUGGGAUUACAGUACUUCACAAUCUGGGUUGUUGAUAUCUAGUUGUCUACCAAUGAAACUGACUAAUUUUCACAUUUUGACGUCUAAACAUUCCAUUCUUUAUGCAAAUGUCUGACUUGAUUGGAUUAAUGAAUCUUACCUGAUUUCUCACCUUUUUUUUUUCCUCUAAAUAUGAAGCAAUGAAGACCUAACACUUGUCUUUAUCAGCAACCUGUGUUUUCUCCUUCUACGUACCGACUGCUAUUGCAAUGUCUCAAGAAUUCAAAGGCAGAUAGAGAAUUCGGUAUUUUAAAGAAAAAUUAAGGGCUUCCUUUUGUUCAUUGUAUCUUUUUGACCAAUGUUGUAAAAUCAUGUGCCUGUAUAUUAUUAUCUUGAUGAAUUCAAAUUCUGACUCGGGAGGAGUUGUGAAUCUAUAUACAAUAUUAUAAUUGAUGAUUCAGGUCUUUGCCUAAAUUACCCCACUUAAGUUUAAUAUGAUUAUAAAUAAUGAGUUAAUUAUCCAUUUAAGUGCCAUGUCUACAAAAGGUUGACAUAAAUUUGCAAAUUUUAAUUUUAAUUAAGUACAUAUUUAAAUGAAGUAUUAAUUCUUUUAUAUUACUGAUAGGGCAAGUCAAGACGAAUUAUAAUUAUUAAAAAAUAUUCAUGAAAGUGAGAGCGAAACUAGAGAUUUAGUUAGCAUCCGUGAUGGAAGCGGGACAAGUAAGGCUUGGGUGGUUGUGAGGAGCGGGGAUGGAUGAGUUUAUUAAUUAUUUUUUAUUAAUAUGUCAAAUAUUGGGGUGUAAAUAAAAAAAUAAUUAAUUUCAGGCAAUUUUUAAAUAUUGAUGGAGAGAGAAUGGAGCAAAGGUUGUCCCCAACACAAAAACCAGGAAAGCUGCCCACUGGUUUUGUCAAACAGCAGUUUUUUUUUUUCUUUUCUUUUCUUUUCAAUUUUUACUACUUUGAAAAACAGGUUUUGUUUCCUAAAAACCUGGAGCUCCUGACUGUUUAAACAAUAAAGAUGCACUGUGUGUGUUGUUAAUAAAUUUUAUAAUUAUUAUAUAAUUAGGCAAGUGGAUUCCCUUCUGACAGAAAAUGAAAACGUGGCUGCCACGCGCUGCUUUCGCAUUUCUCGUCAUCGUGCAUGAACUUUGGACUGUCUUGCAUGGAGCCAUCGCCACUUUUCUGCUUAUUCCCAUCCACUUGUCCUCCUCCUCUCUCAGGAAUCAUAAUUCGCGCCCCCCCCCCCCCCNNNNNNNNNNNNCCCCCCCCCCUCCCCCCCCCAUGCCCCUUACUCCACUCUGCUCACUUCAAAUUUUCAAUUCCUUUUUUCUUUUAAAAUUUUAAAAUAUAAUAUUUAAAUUGUUUAAAAAUAUUUAAAUAAGUCUUUAAUUUGUUAUUACAUUUAAUUAAAUUUUUAUAUUUUAUUUUUAAUCAAAUAAAUUUUUAUAACUAAUAAUUGACUAAUUACUGUUAAUAAAAAUAUAAUUUAUCAUUUUACAUUCAUAAAAUAUUGACAUGAUAUUGAUGUGAAAGUUAAAAAAUAUUACAUGAUCAUGUUAUUAUGUUAAAUUAACAUGUCAUGUCAUGUCAUUAUCAAUUAUAACAUAUCAACAUGUCACAUCAAAAUCAAUUAUAAUAUUUUAUCAUGUUACAUUAACGUCACGAUAUAAAAUAAUAAAUGAUAUUUUAAUUAAGUUAAUUAUUAGUUAUAAGAGUUUAUUUGAUCGAAAAUAAAAAAGUAUAUGAAUUUGUUUGUCUCAAAAUAAAAAUACAAUAACUUAAUUGAACGUAAUUAAAGCACAACAGCUUAAUUGAAUUUUUUUAAGUAGUUUAGAGACUUUUUUGUAUAUUAUAUCAAUUUUUAAUUUAGUUUCAAUUAAAAUAAUUUAUCUAAUUUUGACUGAAAUGAUUUAUAUAUAUAAAGGAACCCAAACCAAAAUUUAUAAUUGUGUUGAAAAUUUAUUGAUUUAAUUAAAUAGGAUUUGUGUCAAAUUUGUUUGGAUUAUAGUAGCAUUUGCAUGUUUUGGCACUUGGUAAGAAAAAAACACCAAUAACAAGCUUUGACACGUUUAAUUCAUAGGGUUGACAAAUUUUUUGUCUUCAUAUAUGUUCUCACGUAGUAACAUUGCAAAACAUUUAAUACAAAUAUGUGAAAGAGAAAUGCCAUAUGUGAUAAUGAUAAUGAAAAUUGUCCAAUCAGGGUUUGACUGGGAACAUAUGUGAAAGUUGCUUUUAAAGUUCAAAUUAUUUACAAUUUUUAUCAUUGAAGUAUUGGGAAAGUCAAGUAAUUUCAAUCGAAAUAAAUAACACAAUUCAUAGAUAAAAGAUUUUAAAAUUAAUUAAUAUAUAAUGCCAAUUACUGAAUUUGAUAUAGAGAAUCUAGUGAUACUAACUCAGUUGAUGAAAUUAUUUGAAAAAAAAAUUGUUCUAUUUUUUUAACACAUGAUUUUCACUUCUUUUUUGAAACACAAUUUAGUGUAUUUUUUUCUUUUUCCAUUCAUGUAAUAACACUCUAAUUAUUAAUAUAUUUAAAAAGGAUAUUUCAAUAAUUAAAAUUUGAAAUAUUUUGAGUAUUUCAAAAUUAAAUAUAUAUGAAAAUAAGAUAUAUAUAUAUACAUAUACAAUUAAAAAUAUUUUAUCCAGAAAAAAAAAUCUUUUAAAAUAUUUAGUAAUAUUGAUUCUUUUAACAAUAACUACACCCACGAUCCAUGUCGGUCCUCUCAUGGAUUCAACCAAAUAAUCCAAAUAACACCGAUUUUUUGUCACCUGGACAUGCUGGUUCAAGGAACCAACAAAAUUCUAGCGAAAGGCAAAAACAAAACUGUAAAGAGGAACACCAUUUUUAAAUUAUUAUACUUUAUAUAUUUAACAAAAGAGCAGUUUCUUCACAAUAGAUUCUGCACCUUGGUCAUAAUAAAAUAUAUAAAAUAUAAAAAUUUAAUAAAAAAAUAUAGCAAGUUGAGCCUUAACGAUGAUGCCAAAAGUAGAAAUUUCUACUGAAUUUAUUUAUGACUAAUUGCUAUGAACAACUUAUUAUUAAGAUUUGAGCCAAAUAAAAAUAAAAUAAUUUAGAAGUCAAGUUGGGCAUUUCUAGUGAAAAAAAGAAAGAAAGAAAAGGAAACGUUAAAUUACAUGUGAUGAGAUGUAGUCAUUGUCUUCCAAAUUCUUCGCAGCCGCCUCCUCAUUUAAAAUUGCAAUCACUUUUUAAUUAUUAAAAUGAGAAACCAUGCCAUGUUAUAAUUUCUGUACUUUUUUUUCUCCUUUUGCAUUAAUAAAAUGUUCAAUUAAUUGUCUCAUAUUGAGUAAGAUUAUUUUAAAAUCUGAACAUUUGAACAUUUGAAAUAGAGGAUAAUAAUAUAUGAUUUUUUGAUGCAAAGAGUAAAAUUUGGAUAUCAUUUUCUUAUUUUUAUUUCUCUAUAUAACAUUCUAUUUUCAUUCAAUUCAAAAAAAAAGAAAUUAAUCAAUUUUUUUAUUUAAAUAUCACCUCAAAUCCAAUGGAAAGAAAUGUUAUGUUGCCAAAGAUUUUACGAGGGAACUACCAUUUUCACGUUAUUUUCCCCAUAAAGAAAUGCAAUUAUUUUGGGGUGAAGACCAUCUUGUCAAUGCAGCUUGAAUAGAUCCCUCCCAGCAAAAGGGGUAGUGAAAAAGGUGAAAUGUACUUGUCUUUGAUGACAAGUACAAAUUCCAAGCAAUAACUUUCUCAAUUAUUAUCUCAUAAAUUCAGUGUUUAAUUUUUAUAAAUGGGUUUAUUUAAUUGACACAUACCCGUUUAAGUGAGUAUGUUAAUUUAUUAAUUUUUUUAUAAAUUUAUUUAUAUAGUUUAGAAACUCUACCAUUGAUAUAUCAUAUAUAAUUAAUUUAGUACAGAAAUAAUUGAUAAUAUCUCUAUCAAAAUAGAAUAUAUAAAUCAAGGUGCCUAAAAAAGUAAAUGGAAAAUAAACCGUGGUAAUCUAAUAUAAAAAUUUAUUUUCUUUAAUCCACUGUCUUAGGGGAUAAGUACGAGAGUAAAAUUUAAAAAGAAAAAAGAAAAAGAAAAAGACCCUUCAAAACCGUUGGCUGAUGGGUUUUCUAGUGCGCCCACAGUCCCAUCCUUUAAAUCCGGAAACCGGUUACCGGUUUUUGCCUACCCCUUUCAAAGCGGUUUUUGAACCAACACGAACUUCCCGAAAACCAGGAGCCUUUUUUAUUUUAGUUCUGUUUUUUUUUUUUUAAAUUAUAAUAACCCUGGAGUUUCCCGUGGCCCCCACUUCAGUCCCUCCUACUUCUUAUGUGGCGAUUCGACCGCACUCUGACACCUGAACGUAGCUGCCACGCGCUGAUCUCUUCUUUUCUCAAUGUUUGGACCCAUUUGCAUGGCAUCCUUAACCUUUUCACCACCUGUCUUUAUUUUCCUAUCUCACCACUCUACCCCUCCUUUUUGGCCGUUCAGUGUUUCAGGGUUGUAAUUUGAAGAAAUGAUUAGGGAUAAUUUGGUAAAAUCAAUUUUGCAUCGAUUUCCCCGAGAGGGAGUUACGUUCGGUAAAUUUUUGGGUUGUCCUACGCAGGAGGGGACAGUACCGAAAGUACGCCUCCAAUGGGGAUCCCAAAUUGGAUUCCUUAAUUGGGAGUAAAAUACACGCGCGUAAGCUGAGAAUGGUGUAAAAUGGAACCGUUUAAAACAUAGUACUAUUUUCUUCGGUAUUUUAAUUAAUACUAUUAUUAUUUUAUUAAAAUUUUUUAAAGCCCCCAGGAGCCCCAACUCCUUGAAUGUGGAAACCAGUGUUUUGGAAAUAAAAACAACUGCGUCCCCCUGUACCUGAAAACCCAGCGGCCACCCCCAAAUUUCUUCCCCCUUUUUUUUUUCUUUUAAUUUUUUAAAUUUAUUUCAUUUUAGUUUUUUUAAAUAUUUUGCUUCCCUUAAAUACUCUCACUUACCUCUUUUCUUUAAUCUCCCAAAUUCCCCACUCUCUUCCUUCGCUCUUCCAUUUCCUUUCUGUUCUCUCGAAAAACUCAGGGAACUCUUCCUUUGUUCUCUUGCACUUUCCUCUGCUUUUUCUUUCUUCUCAAACAUUUCAAAAUGCGAAUGAGCUGUAAUGGAUGUCGGGUCCUCCGUAAAGGAUGCAGUGAAAAUUGUAGCAUUAGACCCUGUUUACAAUGGAUCAAAAGCCCUGAAUCCCAAGCAAACGCCACCGUUUUCCUCGCCAAGUUCUACGGCCGUGCCGGCCUCAUGAACCUCAUCAACGCCGGCCCCGAACAUCUCCGCCCUGGUCAGUACCCUAAAAUGCUUUUUAUUUACCGUGACAUUUGAGUUGCAUAACCGGGCGUAAUUAUUUUUUCUUUACAACUUUACAUUAUUAACUUAAUAUAAUAUAUAUUAUAUAUAUGUACAUAUAUAGACUGCGAACUUUGUGGUGUUUGGAUUGACGUUUUUUUUUUUAAUUUUCAGCGAUUUUUCGCUCAUUAUUAUACGAGGCUUGUGGGCGGAUAGUGAACCCGAUAUAUGGAUCGGUCGGGUUGUUGUGGUCCGGAAGCUGGCAGCUUUGUCAAGCCGCCGUGGAAGCUGUGCUUAAAGGUGCUCCAAUCACGCCGAUUGCUUCAGAAGCCGCCGCGAAUGGUCAAGGACCGCCGCUAAAAGCAUACGACAUUCGGCAUGUUUCUAAAGAUGAGAACUCCGCCGCGUCCAACGAGCUUCACCGAGUUAAGACUCGGUGCCGAGUCAAGCGAACUGUCAAGCCGAAGGUGAGUAAGCCGGUGGUGGAGGAGGAGAAUCGCAACCCCGAAGCCGAGGCGCAGUGUUACGCCGACGAGGGAAACCGGUCGACGAGUCACGAGUCGUCGUUGAGUCACCAGUCCGAGUUGGCCGUUAUGGACGGGGAUAGUAAAGAAACGGAGAGUAUGAUCUCGGUGGAAACAGCGGUGGCGUCACGCCUGUUUCCGGCGGAGCCGGAGUUCCGGUGUAAGGUUUCGGAGGAAAGGACGCCGGAGGGAAGCGGCGAUGUUGGGCUAGAACUAACGCUAGGGUUUGUGCCGGUGAUGUCACGUGCGUGUCACGUGGUGGUGCCCGUGAAGAAAAGGAGAUUGGAAGCAUAUGGCACGUGCGAGGAUAGCCAGACGUGUAAGGUAGAGCUGGGGCUCGAAUAUCCGGCUUAAAAGGCUUUGACAUGCAAAAGGAUAGUUUGGUCCAGUUUUGGCGGUUCCGUUUCGGCUUUUGUUUAUUUUUUACAUAGAAGAGUUGUGGGCUUUUCUUUUCUUUUUUUGUAAGUUCUUUUUGGGUUUCUCUCUCUCUUUUUUCUCCCUUUAUGAAAACAAAAAGGAAGAGAUGUACAAAUGGGGUUUACAUGAAUAGAAGUGGUAAAUUUAUGGAGGGAAUCACAAUAAUUUUAAUUUUGCACAACAUAUUAGUAUUGUAUAGAAUAUAAUUGUAGCAAUCAUCAUAUGUUUUAAGAUAAGAGGCAAUGCAUGUAUGUCUUUAGGAAUGGAGCAUGGGCUGUAGAGAGCUUCGAUGUAUGCUACUUUUAAUGGGAUUGUAUUAUGAAAAUGAAUUAAGUAAUAAGUGGCAUGAUGAUUGGACUAAACUCUGGAAGCUAUGAAUGGCUAAGAUGGUGAAUGUGGCCAGCUGGAGUGCUAUACUCUUGGAUUUGUGCGUUGAGCAGCCCUUACUUUGUGCUUCCUUCGAUUGAGGCUUAGAGGGGUUUGUCAGUAUGCGAAGCCAUGUGACGCGGUUUUAAUUCUGUUGUCACAUGCUUGCAUUGACGCUGAAGAAGCUUAGUACAAAACAGACAGAGACAGACAUCAAUUUCUUCCAUUCUUCGUUUUUAUUGUUUCUUCUCUAUGUAAUUUGUGUAGGUUUCACAUCCUAUUGACAAGAUUUGUAAUAUAGAUAUUUUGAGUUCAUGCCGUCCCACUAUUGGCAUUCUUAACGGUCUUGUGGGAUGAAUAAUCCAAAUAUAUGAUCAUGAUUCCAACAAUUUUAAUAAAACACAGAUUUUAAUAAAGCAUGAUCCGAGCAUAAUGGCUGAAUCCUCGACCUUCGUCUUCACAUACCUGGCAAGUUAAACUUCUCUUCUCAUAGUUCCUGUGCUCCUUCCUUGCUUGCAUACCAAAACCUAAUCAAUAUGAGAUUUAUCAUCACUUCAACAAACAAAACCAAUACUUCUUCAAUAAAAUGAUAGCCAUAGUACAAGUAAGGGUGUAACUGAGUUGAGUCAGUAGACAUCCAAGUAUUCAAAAUCAAGGUUCAAACUUAACCUUCAACUUGCUUUAAAAAAUAAUUCAACUGUUCAAGUUUGAUUCGAUGAGGCUCAAUCAUUAUAAAGUUAAACUUGAACGUGAAUAUUUGUUUAUUUUUUGGGGUGUUUAUAGGUCAGGUUGGACUCAGUCUACAUCUAAAAAUCUCGAUCAAGUUAAUUAUAUUUUUACAAAUAUUAAAAAUAUUUUUAUAUUGGGUGACACGAUCCAAGACUUCCAACUAAGUAAAGAAAUUGAAGAUGAUGUUGUUUGGAAAAGGGAGUGCAGCGGGAUAUAGACGCCCAAGUCAUUUUGUAAGUAUGUUCUCGUGCCCAACGAUACCAUUGAAAACAUAUGAAAGUAUGUGUAGGUAAAUCUGGCUCCAUUGAGAGUGGAGAUGUUUGUUUGGCAACUGAUGCAUGAUAAGUUUGCUGUUAAAAAUGAGCUGGCUAAAAGAGGUAUGUUCCAUAAUACCUUUUUGUUGUGUGAACUGUUUAAUGUGGAGAGGGUAACCUGUUGCCAUUUAUUUAGUGCAUGUUACGAGACAUGGAAAAUCUGGUCAAGAUGGUGCAAAGCAUAGGGCUGUGACAACACUAGGGAGCGGUAAAGCUUUCUUCGAGGCAUGGAAUGGUGUUACCACUGUUGGGACUGAUGGAAAGUUGUAGAUGCCUAAUUUUGGUUACCUAUUAUUUCUUUAAGUAUUAUCUUACAGAAUAAGAACAAGCAUAAAACAAUUAUGUCAUACGAAGAAGUGAAAGUAACUUAGAAAGAGUAACAAGGUUCAUGAGUUAUUUUUAUGUUUGAGAUGUUCUAGAAAGUUUGAUUUGGUGGCUCAUAUAUGAAGGUAGUUAAGAGGACUUUCUCUUAACAUUUUCUUGAAGUAUACAUACUUUAUCCUUUCGUUCUUAAGAGUACACGUGGCAUAUUGUUAAGUGUCACUACUCAACUACCUAAAACUUAUGCACAUUAUCUAAUUACGUGCUCUUCCCAUAGCAUCCAAUAAGCCGUUCUUUACUAUGCUCUUCCCAUAAGCCAUUUUUCCCAUAAUGGACAUGUUCUUCCUAUAACAAACACAUUCUUCCAUACAGAAUGUGUUCUUCUAAAAACACUAUCCAAUUACGUGUUCUUCUCAUAACGUCCAAUAAACUAUUUUUCCCACAGUGGGCAUGCUCUUUCCAUAACAAGUAUAUUCUUCCAUACAAGAUGUCUUCUCUUAAAAGUGCUCUCCUUUUACCAACUAUUCUUCAGAGAGCACUCCUAUUUAGUAUCAAUAUGAAAGUUUGGUAAUUAAGUAAUAGAUUAGAAAUUCAGCAGAGAUUGCUCUCAAAGCUCUUCCAAAUAUUCUCCCUACUCAGCUUUUUGCAUUAACCGUGCUCCGUCGCUUUCUCCACCUUUUUUUUUUUCUUCACCGCCUACCACCAAAACACUUACGUUUUAAGGACUGCUCUAGUCUUCCUCUUUACCACCUUUAGUGCAUUCCGUUUUACUUAUUGCAACACGUCCUUUCUCCUUACUAGAAAAACCCUCUGCAAAGGUUAUGGAGAAUGGUAUACUUUGCAAUAAUCUAGUCAAUCUAGAAAAACAUUAAUGAAGUGAUCUUUAAUGGGAAAAAAUGGGAGGCAAAUUAGUGUUUUGAGUUGGUAAGGCUUAGAGUGGCCUCUUGGGCAAAUGCCAAGUGGCCUAAUGACUAUGUAUCAAUGCUAGACAUGUAUAGACAGCUCCUGACUCACCAACAAACCAAAAAAUAGUGAAAAAGAAGAAAAUUGAUCAAAUGAGAGAAGCUUAAGCAAAGGUAAAUGAAGUUUAAUGUGGACGGAGUUGCUAAAGGGUGCCCGAGACUUGCUGAGAUCGGAAGAACAUUGAAGAACGCUAAUGGCGAAACUAAAAUCAUAUUUCCAAGUCCACUGGCAUGACAGAUUCCAAUCUAACUGAGAUAGUGGUAGUAAGAGAAGCUUUCAUUAUUAUUUUAUCCUUGAAAUGGAAAGAAGAGCACGAGCUUGUUAUCGAAAGCAAUUCGAGUAAUAUUUUGAAAUGAAUUAAACAUCUAGCGAUAACACCUUGGAGAAUGAGAAAGUGGUUGUUGUAGAUUGCAAGAUUGAAGGAAAAACCUGAAGGAUAAGAGAUUCAACAUGUUAUGAAAGAGGCAAAUCAAAUAGUUGAUUCCUUAGCGAAAGAAGGGGUAUUGCUGCAAACAACACUACUACAAGUCUUCUAGCAGGUUGGUUAUGGUUAUGGUUUGCAUUCUGAUCAUUGCGUUGCAUUUUUGGGCUUUUUGGAAACUUGGUUUUGUUUUUUGUGUUGUUUUGUUUGCUUGCUUGUGAGAUUUGGAUGGAUUAUAUUGUUGGAUUUUUGGGUCUAUAGGGAGGUGAACGAUAGGGGGAAAGGGCGAUUGUUUUUCUUUUUGAAUAUAGAGUUGUAUAUAAAUUUUGUUUAUAUUUAUUGCUUAAAAAAUGUAAAGUGUAAGUGCGAUGUGUGUUUUAGGUUAGUUUGAUUGGUAGCAAGGCAAGGAAAUAGGCUUUGUUGAUGCAAAGAAUGAGUGCUUUUGAGGGGUUUUGAAAAGUAUACUCAUAUGUUUUAUGGAGUAUACAGUCCAACACCCUAGGUUAUUUGUGCAUUUGACAGAUGAUGUUCUAGAAGAAGGAGAAAAAUUCUUUCCCUCGAUGGUAAUGAAGAAGCCAUUUCAUUUUUUUAAAAAAGAAUUAAAAUUAAAGUAAAAAUAUUAUUGUUAAUAUAAAAUGUUAGCUAGUCAAGUUUGGUUAGGCAUCGACUUUUAAAAUCUCGUCUAAAUUUUACUCAUGACGUGUCAAUCUCACGUAUUUGACAAACAGAAGUGGAGCUAGCUAACUUUUAUUAGGGGUCAAAGACGAAGAGGAAUAAUGACUAAAAUUUUUUAAAACUAACAUAUUAAACUUAACUAAGUGUCCAUUUGGCCUGGCUUAUUUUUAGCUUAUUUAUUGCUUAAAAGCAGAAACUGGGCCAAACAGGAUUUCGUAAAAAGCUCUUAAAAUAAAGUUGCUUUUUUUUAAAGAAUAAAAUCUGAAAAAAAAAAGCUUAAAAAAAAGCUCCAAUUCAAAGAUUUCUCUUUUUUUUUUUUUAAAAAAAACACGCUAUCUUAUUAGGAGAGCUAUUUUUUCUCAAAAAGACCCUCCCUCUCAAAAAAUACUCCCUCUUUCUCUCCCUGUUGAUCUUCUUCUCAUUUCUCCCUUUUUGUAAAUCAUCAUUUUAGGGUUUUUUUUUGUUCUUACAAAAAUUAAAAAAAAAAGAUCCAAAAUUCAAAACUGCAUUAAUGUAUUAUUUCUUUUUUUCUUCUUUCUAUUUUGUUUUUCAUUUUAUUUUCUAUCUUUUUUUGUACUUUGAAAACUCUCUUUAUUAGUUGAUAUUUCUCAAUUUAUUGUUUGAUAUGACAAUUAUGUUAUGUUUAUUUAUUCUUAACUUCUUUAUGAUGUAUAUAAUAUUUGAUGAUUAUGAUUGAAAUAAUUAAUUAAAUAGGUCAAUGGUUGUUGAGAUAAAUUAGAUGAAAAUUGAGAUAAUAUUUGUUGAUUAUGGUUGUUGAGAUAAUAUUGUUCAUGAAGGUGAACUUUGUCAGUAAGGACAUCAAUAACUAAACGUGAUUUUCUUGAAUUAUUAUUACCACUUUAGACUUAUUUUCUUCUUUUUUGAGUUCUUCUCCAUUAUUAGGGUGAAGAGUUCCAGUAGUCGACUCACUGCUUUCUUUCAUCUCUCAUUUUAUUCAUUUGAUUCAAUUUUUUUCUUUUGAUUUAUUUAUUUAUUAUUAUUCAAUAAAAAAUUAUUUAUGAAUUAUGUGUUACUUAUAAAUUAUUUGUGGAACUCUUUUUUUAUGAUUUAUUAUUAAUUAUAAACUUUAUGUUAUAUAAAAAUCCUUUUAAAAUUUUCAAAAUUUUAUUUUAAAUAGAUAAAAAAUAAAAUUAAUUUUUUUUAUUUUGAACAAAGAAAUUCAUAAUUAAUAAAAGUUAGUUAUUAAAUACCCUUUAUGGUAAUUUUAACUAAAAUUAGAGUUUAUAUAAGUUGUUUUGCCAAACAACUUAUCUAUAAAAAAGAGUUUAUAAAAGCAAAUUUACCAAACAACUUUAACUUAAUUUUAAAAGCUAUUAGUUUUCAUAAAAGCUUUAUAAUAGCUUUUAAGUUAAAAAAAAAACCAAGCCAAACAUGCUCUAACAAUCAAAAGAUUUGUAAUAGACAAUAAUUUCAUAUAACAUGUAAAUUAAAAGGAACAAGAAAAGAAAGACUUACAAUAGUUCUUUAGAAAAAUUGUG
rnacentral:lncRNA from 1 species